GGGCUACGAGUAACUCCAAACCCCUGUGACAUACCACUUGUUGCCUCGGCGGAUCAGCCCGCUCCCGGUAAAACGGGACGGCCCGCCAGAAGACCCCUAAACUCUGUUUCUAUAUGUAACUUCUGAGUAAAACCAUAAAUAAAUCAAAACUUUCAACAACGGAUCUCUUGGUUCUGGCAUCGAUGAAAAACGCAGCAAAAUGCGAUAAGUAAUGUGAAUUGCAGAAUUCAGUGAAUCAUCGAAUCUUUGAACGCACAUUGCGCCCGCCAGUAUUCUGGCGGGCAUGCCUGUUCGAGCGUCAUUUCAACCCUCAAGCACAGCUUGGUGUUGGGACUCGCGUUAAUUCGCGUUCCCCAAAUUGAUUGGCGGUCACGUCGAGCUUCCAUAGCGUAGUAGUAAAACCCUCGUUACUGGUAAUCGUCGCGGCCACGCCGUUAAACCCCAACUUCUGAAUGUUGACCUCGGAUCAGGUAGGAAUACCCGCUGAACUUAAGCAUAUCAAUAAGCGGAGGAA
rnacentral:rRNA from 1 species